GUUCGAAUCGCUAACAGGUCAACAGAGAAGAUUAGCAUGGCCCCUGCACUAAGGAUGACACGCUCACUCAAAGAGAAGCUAAACAUUUUU
rnacentral:snRNA from 15 species